AGGACGCUUCCUUCGGGAAGCGAGCGUACACAGGUGCUGCAUGGCUGUCGUCAGCUCGUGUCGUGAGAUGUUGGGUUAAGUCCCGCAACGAGCGCAACCCUUGCCUUUAGUUGCCAGCAGUUCGGCUGGGCACUCUAAAGGGACUGCCGGUGUUAAACCGGAGGAAGGUGGGGAUGACGUCAAGUCCUCAUGGCCUUUAUGACCAGGGCUACACACGUACUACAAUGGCCGAUACAAAGGGCAGCGACACUGCGAGGUGAAUCCAAUCCCGUAAAAUCGGUCUCAGUCCGGAUUGGAGUCUGCAACUCGACUCCAUGAAGUUGGAAUCGCUAGUAAUCGUGGAUCAGCAUGCCACGGUGAAUACGUUCCCGGGCCUU
rnacentral:rRNA from 1 species